ensembl:misc_RNA Metazoa_SRP Metazoan signal recognition particle RNA
ACCGGGCAUGGUGGCGCAUGUCUAUAGUCCCAGCUAUUCGGGAGGCUCAGGCUGGAGGAUCUCUUGAGUCCAGGAGUUCUGGGCUGUAGUGCACUAUGCUGAUCAGGUGUCUGCACUAAGUUCAGCAUCAAUUUGGUGACCUCCCGGGAGCGGGGGACCAGCAGGUUGCCUAAGGAGGGGUGAAACGGCCCAGGUCAGAAAUGGAGCAGAUCAGAACUCCCGUGCUGAUCAGUAGUGGGAUCGUGCCUGUGAAUAGCCACUGCACUCCAGCCUGGGCAACAUAGCGAGACCCCCAUCUCUU